rnacentral:rRNA from 1 species
GACGAACGCUGGCGGCGUGCUUAACACAUGCAAGUCGAACGGAAAGGCCCUGCUUUUGUGGGGUGCUCGAGUGGCGAACGGGUGAGUAACACGUGAGUAACCUGCCCUUGACUUUGGGAUAACUUCAGGAAACUGGGGCUAAUACCGGAUAGGAGCUCCUGCUGCAUGGUGGGGGUUGGAAAGUUUCGGCGGUUGGGGAUGGACUCGCGGGUUAUCAGCUUGUUGGUGGGGUAGUGGCUUACCAAGGCUUUGACGGGUAGCCGGCCUGAGAGGGUGAACGGCCACAUUGGGACUGAGAUACGGCCCAGACUCCUACGGGAGGCAGCAGUGGGGAAUAUUGCACAAUGGGCGGAAGCCUGAUGCAGCAACGCCGCGUGCGGGAUGACGGCCUUCGGGUUGUAAACCGCUUUCGCCUGUGACGAAGCGUGAGUGACGGUAAUGGGUAAAGAAGCACCGGCUAACUACGUG